rnacentral:rRNA from 1 species
GACGAACGCUGGCGGCGUGCCUAAUACAUGCAAGUAGAACGCACAGUUUAUACCUUCGCUUGCUACACCAUAGACUGUGAGUUGCGAACGGGUGAGUAACGCGUAGGUAACCUGCCUGGUAGCGGGGGAUAACUAUUGGAAACGAUAGCUAAUACCGCAUAAUAUUAAUUAUUGCAUGAUAAUUAAUUUAAAGGUGCAAUUGCACCACUACCAGAUGGACCUGCGUUGUAUUAGCUAGUAGGUGAGGUAACGGCUCACCUAGGCGACGAUACAUAGCCGACCUGAGAGGGUGAUCGGCCACACUGGGACUGAGACACGGCCCAGACUCCUACGGGAGGCAGCAGUAGGGAAUCUUCGGCAAUGGACGAAAGUCUGACCGAGCAACGCCGCGUGAGUGAAGAAGGGUUUCGGAUCGUAAAGCUCUGUUGUAAGAGAAGAACGGGUGUGAGAGUGGAAAGUUCACACUGUGACGGUAUCUUACCAGAAAGGGACGGCUAACUACGUG